AGCAGACCCUCGCCGCGUCGGUGAAUUGUAUUUAUGGCAGCGCGCUCCCGAUGACACGACCGAUACGGUAGCGGAUCAGGCGACAAUGUCACCGAAUCCAGCCGCAGCGCCGACUUCCGGGAGCGAGGCGCCGCGAUUCCGCUCGGACUGACCGCGGACGGCGGCGUGUCGGAGGAUGACGUCUUCAACGUGAGGGUCUAUGUGACUGAGAGCGAGGGAUGAGGCGGGUUGAUUCAGACUCCAAUGGCCUGUUCUCAUCCGGGGAAAACACCGACAACGACUGCGAGGAUGUAAUGGGGGCGAGCUGUGAAGAGGCCAGCGCAGUGUGUUUGUGUGAGAGAGGUCCUCACACCAUCUACUGUGAACAACACCCUCAAGCGGGAACGGCGAAAUGCGAACAAUGCGGGAAGAGGCGGGUUACGAUUACCAGGCUGUCGGAGGGCUACGGCACGGAGGAGGAGUGCGCCCAGUCAGAUCCUCAGGGGGAGAGCGAUGCCGACGCUGACAUCGAGGACACCGACAGCAGGCUGCAGGUGGCGGGCUCUCUGCAGCGCAUCAGCUCUCGCAAGCGCAGGCGCCAGCGAAUCACCAGGCAGGACACGACGGAAAGCGAGGACGAUGGGGGGCGGAGCCACCGGAGCCAUCGGUGGAACCUCAGGCUAAGCCCUCACCGCACGCACAGCAGGACGAUUCUGGAGGAGAGCGUGUCCCAGGUGCGUCCGCUGGUCCUCUGCCGGUGCAGCGCGGGAGAGGGCCGGCCGGCGGCUGCGGCGCCGGACGCCGGGCCCAACGUCCGGACAAAGUGGCUCCUGCCGGCGUGGCCCUCGUCCUUCUCCUUCCCGCUCCUGGUGUCCCUCAUCUUCCUCCCCCUCACCCUGAGCUUCAUCGUGGUCAUCAUGUCAUUCCUGCUGCCGCUGACCAGCACAUGACCGGCGCCGCUUGGCCCUGCUGUACUGUACCUGCCGGCAUAUCUCAAAACCAAAGCAGCUCUCCUGGUGUCUUUUUUUUUUUUUUUCGUCCCAGCCGUUCGUCUCGUGUCCUUCUCUGCUUUCUUAUUUCCAGUAGAGUCCGCGUGUCUCCCUUGGCGCCGAACGGGAGGGGGAAGGUCAGGGGUGUGUGUGUGUGUGUGCGGCGGCGUUUGGCCGUGGGAGAAACGUGUAAAUACGAGAACUAUGCAAUGUCCACACGUUCUGGUCAGGACGGGACACAGCCUGGAGACCUUCGACGUUUAGGAACGAAGCGCAGGCCUGCCGGUCGGCUAGUAACCGGGCUGCUAGCUGGCCUGUGCGGUUGAGAAGUCCCGGUUCAGAAGCACAGCCCCGCCCCCCACCCCCCUACCUCAGCAUUUGUUGUGACUCUCUGCCCUGCGUUUUUAUGAUUUUUCUUAUUAUUAAUAAUUUUGUGUGUGUGUGUGUGUGUGUGUGAGUAGACACCAAGCUGGCCAAAGCUCCACCGUAAGCGAACAAAGGCACCCGGCGAGCAGACAGCGCUGUUUUGAACGAUGGUCACCAAAGUCACGCCGAGCGUGUCUACGGUAGCUUCUUGGCGAAACAGGACGAUCACUCAAAAUAGUGCUGAAAUUAAGAAUACGGGUCGAUCGCACCAAAUACAACGUCUUUAUAUUUCUGCCGCUCGUUUUGUUCCACCCUGCUUCACCCGUGAUUGAUUUCUCUGUACAGUAAGUUCGAAUAAACGCAUAAGCACAAGAACGGAGGACUGCGUGUUUCUGUCCAACCCAGCUGGCGGCAAAACACAAAGAAUAAAGACGAAUUCGAAAGCGCGCAGGACGCGGCGUGGACGAUCUCAGCACGACUCGCCGACAGGCACGUCGCCGCGACCUUGGACGGCUGCAGUUUUCUGUUUCCGAAGAAUGGUGCGAGGACGCUGAUGCCUCUCCCUAACCUCACAGCUUGUUUCGAACGUUCUGGAAAAGGCCCAGUAUUGUCCUGGGUUCUCCUUCCUCCAGAAAUUACGGCAACGUGCACCAAAUACAGGGGUCAAGGACUGUAGGUGCAUCAUAAAAUGUUCUCCACCAGGGACCAUAUCUGUCUUACAAGUGCAGAUAUGUACAGUACAGGCCAAAAGUCUGGACACACCUUCUCAUUCAAUAUGUUAUCUUCAUGACCAUUUACGUUGGUAUGAAUGAACACAUGUGGAGUUCUGUACUUAACAAAAAGUGGAGACCUGGCCUCCACAGUCACCGGACCUGAACCCAAUCCAGAUGGUUUGGGGUGAGCUGGACCCCAACAAGUGCUAAACACCUCUGGGAACUCCUUCAAGACUGUUGGAGAAGCAUUUCAGGUGACGACCUCUUGAAGCUCAUCGAGAGAAUGCCAAGAGUGUGCAAAGCAGGAAUCAGAGCAAAGAAACUAGAAUAUAAAACAUGUUUUCACUUAUUUCACCUUUUUUUGUUAAGUACAUAACUCCACAUGUGUUCAUUCAUAGUUUUGAUGCCUUCAGUGAGAAUCUACCGACGUAAAUGGUCAUGAACAUAAAAAAAACACAUUGAAUGUGAAGGUGUCUCCAAACUUUUGGCCUGUACUGUAUAUGUAAAAGAAAACCCUAACAUCAUUCACUCAGAAGCACACUGCUGGAGGUUGAGUGACAUGUCAGGGACGGACUGAUGUAAGCACCACUCAACAGCCCCAAACAAGGUCACGGAAGCGGACCAUAUGGAGCCAUGCACCCGGCUACCUUUCCCCGAGCCUUUCUCCAUGGCAACCAUCUGCUUCAUGUGCCACAAAAUGGUAUUUUUUCGCCCAUCUCUUUUGCCAAAUAGCCUUGAGCCCGACAGACCAAGCUACGGGCAUGUGGGAAUAACGCAGUCUGACAUCUGCUGUGAGAUCCUCCAUAUAAUAUAGAUAUAUCCACGUUUCUCGAAAACUGCAGAUGUUUCUGUUCUGGUAUUGCAGACAACUUCGAAUGACCACUUUGUCAGUAGAUCACCGGAUCUCGCCAUCUUGGUAAACAAGGUUAUUCAGCCGGGCAGGGGCUGAAGCACAAGCCUGAAAGAAAACACCACACAAGCUCCUCGAAGCUAAAGCCUAGCAGCACAUAAAACGCUAAAAUGCACCAGCCCCUUCCAGCAGGGGGCACUAGUGAGUAAUACAUGUUUUUGGCAACUUUCUACUAAUUGUUGCGUCUUCUAAAUCAGCUGUUUGUAUAAAAAUAUGUUUGCAUUGAUAUGUUCAAAAAUGUAACAUAAAUAAAGAUUGUUGUUGUUUACAACCCCCCUGCCCCCCCAUAACCCAGACUCCCCAGCUGUUGGCCGUGGAGAAGCAAUUCAAUCCUGCUGACCUGCGAAGGUGUAAGCCAAGCCAGCGAUCAUAUGAUGCAUCCUCCACUAUAAAUGUGCACCGGGGGGCACGAAUCUCACCCCUAGGCACCCGCCCAGGACGGGCCUGAAGUGAUUGGCCCUGAAGGCUUGGGCGCCAAAGCUCUGGACGGCGACCAAACGCGAGGGAUACUGUAGGUCGGUGAGAUGAAUGGCUGCCCAGGACAAGGCGUCUGAUAUAUGAACGCUGCCUUCUGAGCCGCAUACAAAAGCACGCAUGAACACUAUUUUAAAAGGGAAGGAUGGAAAGUAUUUUGUUUACUUUUGCCAGCAUCAUACCUUCAUUUCGGGUUUGUUUUAAUUGUACCACACCAGACCAGACUCUGGUAUUACUUACAGUAGAUAUCUGUGCGAUGAGAUAUGUUUAUGUGUAUAAAUAGCGACAUGUUGAGGGAUUCAGAGGUGCGGACCUUGUUUGCCCUGAGAACGGAGGGUAGGUAGCAGAGGAGGAGCAGAGGCAGUGUCUGGAGGAUUUGUCCAAAAGUUGCUGUGACGUCAGUGAUAUUACAAAAAGCAGAAGAAAGAUCUAAGCUGGGCUGAGAGACAUGGCGUUGGCUGAUCCCUGCCAUGUGAACCAUUGGAACUCUGGAUGGAGAGAAGGUAUGGAUGAGAGAAAUGAAAAGGAUGAUGGAUGGGAAGAGAGAAGGCAGGACUAUGAGGAGGACAGAGAGAAAAAAACCACAGAUCAGACCGAUGAUGAUGAUAACAUUUAUGAAAAUGAUGAUGAAGAUGAAAUAAAAAGCAUCAACAAACAUGCAGGGAAAAGAAGAUGCAAAGAAAGUAAUUGUACUGAUCAUGAGAACAUUUUGGAUGGUGAGAUUGACAUUGAUGUGGAACAUGAUGAAGAAGAUGGACAAAAUACUGAAGACCAAUUGUUCAACAGAAAUGCAGGGAAAAGAGAAGGUGACGUAAACAAUUCCGCAGAUUAUGAAAAAAAUGUCUCAAUGGAUGAUCUUCUUGAAGAAGAAGCUGAGAAUGAUGUGAAGCAUGAUGAAGACGCAGAAGAGGAAGAUACACAUUCUAUUGGUGGUGUUGACAUGAAGUUAUACUGUAGCUUCCACUACCCAUCAGAAUUGUUCCAAACCAUGAAUGAGUUCAG
ensembl:lncRNA